AUUGAACGCUGGCGGCAGGCCUAACACAUGCAAGUCGAACGAGUGGCGGACGGGUGAGUAAUGUCCGGGAAACCGCCUGAUGGAGGGGGAUAACUACUGGAAACGGUAGCUAAUACCGCAUACCAUCAGAUGUGCCCAGAUGGGCUUAGCUUGUUGGUGGGGGAACGGCUCACCAAGGCGACGAUUCCUAGCUGGUCUGAGAGGAUGACCAGCCACACUGGAACUGAGAACCGGUCCAGACUCCUACGGGAUGCAGCAGUGGGGAAUAGUGCACAAUGGGCGCAAGCCUGAUACAGCCAUGCCGCGUGUAUGAAGAAGGCCUUCGGGUUGUAAAGUACUGUCAGCGGGGAUGCGUUACCCGCAGAAGAAGCACCGGCUAACUCCGUGCCAGCAGCCGCGGUAAUUC
rnacentral:rRNA from 1 species